GACGAACGCUGGCGGCGUGCUUAACACAUGCAAGUCGAACGGAAAGGCCCUGCUUUUGUGGGGUGCUCGAGUGGCGAACGGGUGAGUAACACGUGAGUAACCUGCCCUUGACUUUGGGAUAACUUCAGGAAACUGGGGCUAAUACCGGAUAGGAGCUCCUGCUGCAUGGUGGGGGUUGGAAAGUUUCGGCGGUUGGGGAUGGACUCGCGGCUUAUGAGCUUGUUGGUGGGGUAGUGGUUUACCAAGGCUUUGCCGGGUAGCCGGCCUGAGAGGGUGACCGGCCACAUGGGGACUGAGAGACGGCCCAGUCUCGUACGGGAGGCAGCAGUGGGGAAUAUUGCACAGUGGGCGCAAGCCUGAUGCAGCGACGCCGCGUGCGGGAUGACGGCCUUCGGGUUGUAAACCGCUUUCGCCUGUGACGAAGCGUGAGUGACGGUAAUGGGUAAAGAAGCACCGGCUAACUACGUG
rnacentral:rRNA from 1 species